rnacentral:rRNA from 1 species
CAAGACAUGAAGUUAGGUCAGCAAACCCGCUGAAUUUAAGCAUAUAAGUAAGCGGAGGAUAAGAAACUAAAUAGGAUUCCCUCAGUAAUGGCGAAUGAACAGGGAUCAGCUCAGCAUGGAAAUUGGGCCCUCGGCCUUGAAUUGUAGUCUCGAGAUGCAUCGCCAAUGGAGGCGCAGAUGUAAGCCUCUUGGAAAAGAGCAUCAACGAGGGUGAGAGUCCCGUUUGUCAUCUGCAGUCCCCCAUGCACGGCGUGCUUCUAAGAGUCGCGUUCCUCGGAAUUGGAGCGUCAAUUGGGUGGUAAAUUUCAUCUCAAGCUAAAUAUUGGUUCGAGACCGAUAGCAAACAAGUACCAUGAGGGAAAGG